rnacentral:rRNA from 1 species
AUUGAACGCUGGCGGCAGGCCUAACACAUGCAAGUCGAACGAGUGGCGGACGGGUGAGUAAUGUCUGGGAAACUGCCUGAUGGAGGGGGAUAACUACUGGAAACGGUAGCUAAUACCGCAUACCAUCAGAUGUGCCCAGAUGGGAUUAGCUUGUUGGUGGGGUAACGGGUCACAAAGGCGACGAUCACUAGCUGGUCUGAGAGGAUGACCAGCCACACUGGAACUGUGACCCGGUCCAGACUCCUACGGUAGGCAGCAGUGGGGAAUAUUGUCCAUUGGGCGCAAGCCUGAUUCAGCCAUGCCGCGUUUAUGAAGAAGUCCUUCGGGUUGUAAAGUACUUUCAGCGGGGAGGCGUUACCCACAGAAGAAGCACCGGCUAACUCCGAGCCAGCAGCUGCGGUAAUUC